rnacentral:rRNA from 1 species
UACGUAGGGUGCGAGCGUUGUCCGGAAUUACUGGGCGUAAAGCGCUCGUAGGUGGUUUGUCGCGUUGUUCGUGAAAACUCACAGCUUAACUGUGGGCGUGCGGGCGAUACGGGCAGACUGGAGUACUGCAGGGGAGACUGGAAUUCCUGGUGUAGCGGUGAAAUGCGCAGAUAUCAGGAGGAACACCGGUGGCGAAGGCGGGUCUCUGGGCCGAUACUGACGCUGAGGAGCGAAAGCGUGGGGAGCAAACAGG